GGGGCUAUAGCUCAGUUGGGAGAGCGCUUGAAUCGCACUCAAGAGGCCGACGGUUCGAUUCCGUUUAGCUCCA
rnacentral:tRNA from 2 species